UUUGAAGUUUGAACAAACAAAAAACAAAGCAGUCAAUCAAAAACAGGAAAACGGGAAAAUCGCUGUCGGAGCAGAUUCGUUCCGCCGAAAUCACCUUUUCGAAUCCGGUUUGGAGUUUAGUGCACUGGUUCUUGCACUGUCGGUGUAGGUUGGCCAGCUCGGCUGUUCGAGACGGAUUUUGCAAGCCGGAAUAGAGGUUCGACUGCACAAAGAGGGUUACUUGCUGCUCGUGGGGUACAGCUGUGUGGUCAGGUCGCUUGUCCGGUUCCGGAAAUCCAUCGGCAGCUUAGAACUGGCUAGAUCUUCGAGAACUUAUUUGCCCAGCAUCCAGCCGGAACGUUGAAU